UGCAACCCGACUCCACGAAGUUGGAUUCGCUAGUAAUCGCGCAUCAGCCAUGGCGCGGUGAAUACGUUCCCGGGCCUUGUACACACCGCCCGUCCAAGCCAUGGGAGCCGGGGGCGCCUGAAGUCCGGGACCGCGAGGACCGGCCUAGGGCGAAACUGGUAACUGGGGCUAAGUCGUAACAAGGUACC
rnacentral:rRNA from 1 species